rnacentral:rRNA from 1 species
CAUUAGCUAGUUGGUGAGGUAACGGCUCACCAAGGCCACGAUGCAUAGCCGACCUGAGAGGGUGAUCGGCCACAUUGGGACUGAGACACGGCCCAAACUCCUACGGGAGGCAGCAGUAGGGAAUCUUCGGCAAUGGACGAAAGUCUGACCGAGCAACGCCGCGUGAGUGAAGAAGGUUUUCGGAUCGUAAAACUCUGUUGUUAGAGAAGAACAAGGAUGAGAGUAACUGUUCAUCCCUUGACGGUAUCUAACCAGAAAGCCACGGCUAACUACGUGCCAGCAGCCGCGGUAAUACGUAGGUGGCAAGCGUUGUCCGGAUUUAUUGGGCGUAAAGCGAGCGCAGGCGGUUUCUUAAGUCUGAUGUGAAAGCCCCCGGCUCAACCGGGGAGGGUCAUUGGAAACUGGGAGACUUGAGUGCAGAAGAGGAGAGUGGAAUUCCAUGUGUAGCGGUGAAAUGCGUAGAUAUAUGGAGGAACACCAGUGGCGAAGGCGGCUCUCUGGUCUGUAACUGACGCUGAGGCUCGAAAGCGUGGGGAGCAAACAGGAUUAGAUACCCUGGUAGUCCACGCCGUAAACGAUGAGUGCUAAGUGUUGGAGGGUUUCCGCCCUUCAGUGCUGCAGCUAACGCAUUAAGCACUCCGCCUGGGGAGUACGACCGCAAGGUUGAAACUCAAAGGAAUUGACGGGGGCCCGCACAAGCGGUGGAGCAUGUGGUUUAAUUCGAAGCAACGCGAAGAACCUUACCAGGUCUUGACAUCCUUUGACCACUCUAGAGAUAGAGCUUCCCCUUCGGGGGCAAAGUGACAGGUGGUGCAUGGUUGUCGUCAGCUCGUGUCGUGAGAUGUUGGGUUAAGUCCCGCAACGAGCGCAACCCUUAUUGUUAGUUGCCAUCAUUCAGUUGGGCACUCUAGCAAGACUGCCGGUGACAAACCGGAGGAAGGUGGGGAUGACGUCAAAUCAUCAUGCCCCUUAUGACCUGGGCUACACACGUGCUACAAUGGGAAGUACAACGAGUUGCGAAGUCGCGAGGCUAAGCUAAUCUCUUAAAGCUUCUCUCAGUUCGGAUUGCAGGCUGCAACUCGCCUGCAUGAAGCCGGAAUCGCUAGUAAUCGCGGAUCAGCACGCCGCGGUGAAUACGUUCCCGGGCCUUGUACACACCGCCCGUCACACCACGAGAGUUUGUAACACCCGAAGUCGGUGAGGUAACCUUUUUGGAGCCAGCCGCCUAAGGUGGGAUAGAUGAUUGGGGUGAAGUCGUAACAAGGUAGCCGUAUCGGAAGGUGCGGCUGGAUCACCUCCUUU